GAUGAACGCUGGCGGCGUGCCUAAUACAUGCAAGUCGAGCGAACAGACGAGGAGCUUGCUCCUCUGACGUUAGCGGCGGACGGGUGAGUAACACGUGGAUAACCUACCUAUAAGACUGGGAUAACUUCGGGAAACCGGAGCUAAUACCGGAUAAUAUAUUGAACCGCAUGGUUCAAUAGUGAAAGACGGUUUUGCUGUCACUUAUAGAUGGAUCCGCGCCGCAUUAGCUAGUUGGUAAGGUAACGGCUUACCAAGGCAACGAUGCGUAGCCGACCUGAGAGGGGGAUCGGCGACACUGGAACUGAGACACGGUCCAGACUCCUACGGGAGGCAGCAGUAGGGAAUCUUCCGCAAUGGGCGAAAGCCUGACGGAGCAGCGCCGCGUGAGUGAUGAAGGUCUUCGGAUCGUAAAACUCUGUUAUUAGGGAAGAACAAAUGUGUAAGUAACUAUGCACGUCGUGACGGUACCUAAUCAGAAAGCCACGGCUAACUACGUG
rnacentral:rRNA from 1 species